rnacentral:lncRNA from 1 species
GCAGUGAGCUAUGAUCACACCACUGCACUCCAACCUGGGUGACACAGUGAGACUCUGUCUCAAAAAAAAAAAAAAUGUGGAGGAAGGAGACAAGCGAGAUGAUGGGAGAGGGGAAGAGAAGAGAAAGAAUAGGUGAGAAAGAAAACCAGAGAAGUUAAGCUUCCCAUUGUGGGUAGGGAGUGAAUUGUGAAUGACAAUGCUUUUCCUCUAUCAAGGUUAAGGAGGAUGGCUCCCAGAUUGUACAGCAGAGUGAGAGUCCUGCAAAGAUAAACUGCUUUGGAUGCACUGAUAGAAAAAUACACAGGUACGUAAUUAAGACAGAUAUGGCCAAGAAACUCAUUAAAGCAUGUGAGUACAUAUGAAGAAUAAUUAUUCUGAUUGUUAUCUCUUUUUUAGUUUUUUUUUUCCUUUUUUUUUUUUGAGACGAAGUCUCACUCUGCCCAAGCUGGAGUACAGUGGCCUGAUCUCAGCUCACUACAACCUCCACCUCCCAGGUUCAAAUGAUUCUCCUGCCUCAGCCUCCUGGGUAGCUGGGACUACAUGCAUGUGCCACCAUGCCCGGCUACUUUUUGUAUUUUUAGUAGAGAUGGGGUUUCAUACCCACCUCAGCCUCCGAAAGUGCUGGGAUUACAGGCGUGAGCCACUGCGCCUGGCCUGUUUUUCAUUGUCCUCCAGGCAUUUGAAAACACAUGGCUGCCCCUCUGCUGGGGCAGAUUGCUACCUGUGGCUCCUGUUACCGCCCAGGCAGCAGGCUCAGGCAGCUGCCCAGGAUGCUUUACUUCCUUUCAUUCCUCCACUAAAACUUUUUAAUAAACUUUCACUCCUGCUCUAACUUGCCUCCUCGGUCUCUCCCUCUGUCUUAUGCCUCUUGGCUAAAUUCUUUCCUCUAAGGAGGCAACAAUCAAGUUGCUGCAGACCCGUAUGGAUUCGCCACUGGUAACACCUCCCAUCACUUCUCUGUUGAAUUCUAGUGUUCUCUCGUAAAUUCCAAGAGUGAUUACCUACUCACUCUCUGUAGUUCCUGUCUGUGGAAGAAGCAAGUACCAGAUACAUCUAGUCAGCCAUCUUGAAGCCCCUCCAGGACUCAGUUUAUGUUAUCUUUUAUGCCAUUUUAAUUUUUGAAUUUUUUUUUUUUUUUGACAGAGUCUCACUCUGUUACCCAGGCUGGAAUGCAGUGGCACAAUCUUGGCUUACUGCAACCUCCACCUCUCAGGUUCAAGCAAUUCUCCAGCCUCAUCC